rnacentral:rRNA from 1 species
AAACCAGCACCUCAAGUGGUCAGGAUGAUUAUUGGGCCUAAAGCAUCCGUAGCCUGCUCUGUAAGUUUCCGGUUAAAUCCAUUAGCUCAACUAAUGGCCUGCCGGAAAUACUGCAGAGCUAGGAAGUGGGAGAGGUAGACGGUACUCGGUAGGAAGGGGUAAAAUCCUUUGAUCUAUUGAUGACCACCUGUGGCGAAGGCGGUCUACCAGAACACGUUCGACGGUGAGGGAUGAAAGCUGGGGGAGCAAACCGGAUUAGAAACCCGAGUAGUCC